rnacentral:rRNA from 1 species
GAUGAACGCUGGCGGCGUGCCUAAUACAUGCAAGUCGAGCGAACAGACGAGGAGCUUGCUCCUCUGACGUUAGCGGCGGACGGGUGAGUAACACGUGGAUAACCUACCUAUAAGACUGGGAUAACUUCGGGAAACCGGAGCUAAUACCGGAUAAUAUAUUGAACCGCAUGGUUCAAUAGUGAAAGACGGUUUUGCUGUCACUUAUAGAUGGAUCCGCGCCGCAUUAGCUAGUUGGUAAGGUAACGGCUUACCAAGGCAACGAUGCGUAGCCGACCUGAGAGGGGGAUAGGCCACACUGGAACUGAGACACGGUCCAGACUCCUACGGGAGGCAGCAGUAGGGAAUCUUCCGCAAUGGGCGAAAGCUUGACGGAGCAACGCCGCGUGAGUGAUGAAGGUCUUCGGAUCGUAAAACUCUGUUAUUAGGGAAGAACAAAUGUGUAAGUAACUAUGCACGUCUUGACGGUACCUAAUCAGAAAGCCACGGCUAACUACGUG